rnacentral:siRNA from 1 species
CUAAGGCCCGCCUAUAGAGGC